UUAUGUAUGUUUUAUAUAAUACAGUAUUCAUAAUAUAUAUUAUGUAAACCAUGUAUAAGUAGAUAUACACAUGUUUAUAACCCUAUACAUAAUUAAAAACAGAUAGUAUACAUUCUUUCAAAUACAAGGAAUGUAUUUACAAAAAGACACCUUGUAUGAAGACAUAUAACAAACAUGAAGAAAUUCCAAAGAAUCAGUAUGACACCGAAUAUAUUCUCCAAACCCAAUGCAAUAACAUUAAGAAUGCGUAAGAGAAGUAAAGAUAAAAUAGCACUUUUAAAACUAAUUAUUAAUACAUUCAUAUGUGAAUUAUUAAGUAUGUAAUAAAAUAUAUUUUGAUAAUAUCACCACUACAUAUCAAAAAGUAUGGGGCAUAGUUAAUAUUGGAGAUCAAUUAGUAGCUUUGAAUAUAUUUGUUGGAAGACUUGAAAGCUUUCAAAUUAAUGAGCUAAGGAAGCAUCUUAAGAAGAUGGAACGUGAGCACCGGGGCAUGCCCAAAGAAUCAUAAAGGAGGGAAACAAUCACGGUAAGGGCUGAAAUAAAUUGAAUGAUUGAAAAUGAAGAUCAAGGCAAGUCAUAAUUCAUUCUUUGAAAGUUUAAAAAGAUAGCCAUAUUCUUGUCAAGACAAAUGAAGAUAAAAGAAGAUGAUAACAAAUUGAAGAAAAAGAAGAAAAUAACCAUGCACUCAUUCUAUAGAGAUUUUAAAAUAAAUAAAUCCUGAACAAAAUCUUGCUGUUUUAAACCUUAGAAGUGCACACAUUCCUUAAAAAACAUGAACUGCAAAGAUUAACACAAGAAGAAACAAAUUUCAAUAGAUUAAUAAAUAGGAAAACUGGAAUGGUAGAUAAGCUCCACCCUCACAGAAAAUUCAAGACUCACCUGGUUUUACAGGUAACUUAAUCGUUUAAGAAACAUUUGAUUUAUAUUUCAUACAAGAUGUUGCAGAAAAUAGAAAAGAAGCAAGAACAGCCCAGGUUAUUUGAAGGGGCUAGUGUCAUCAAAAUCACAAAACCAGGUGAUUUAAACUGGUUAAAAAAACUAAAUUACAGGUUUAUUUCUCUGACGCACGUGGAGUCAAUUCCCAAAUUACCAUUAGCUAACUGAAUUCAAGAGUGCAUCAAAAAGAAGACUGUAUUAUGAUCGAGUACAGUUUUAUCACAAAACAGAAAGGAUUGUUCAACUUUACAAAAUCUAUUAAUAUAAGUCAACCAAAUUCAUAAACUACAGGGGAAAAAGUCAACUGCUGCACAAAAAGCAUUUGGGAACCUUGAGCACAUUUAUGUUAUAUGAAAAAGCUCUUAAUAAAAUGGAAAUAAGAACAGAUAACUUGGUAAAGAUUGUACAGCAAUGAUUACAAUAAACAUUAUUUAGUGAAGAAAGCAUAAACAAACAAAUUCAGGAUUUCUGCAGCUACUAUUAAUGUCUUCUAUAAUAUUAGAGGUUCUGAUCAAUGCUUGAAGGAAAGGAAAACAAGUUACAAUAAAGAAGAUUAGACAAGAAGAGAAAAAACCGUCAUGACUUGCAGAUGAUGGUAUCAUCUACCCAGAAAAAGAAUGAGAAACAACAAACAAUUAAAUCUCACAAGAGAAUUUAGCAAGGUUGCCAGACACAAAAUCAACCGACGUACAUCACAAAUAGAUCUCUAUGAAAAAUAAUCAUUUAGAAACCUAAGAUAGUUUUCAUUACAGCGACAAAAUCAUUAAGUUUCUAGAAAGAAUUAAUUUAAGCCAGACCUAUUUGGAGAAAACUACAAAAUGCUAAAAAAUGACUGGUGAUCUGAAUAAAUAGAAAUAAUCCAUGAUUUUGGAAGAGGCAAUAACAUUGUAAAGAUGUCAAUUUCCCCCAAAUUCAAGUCUUUAAAUGCAAUCCCAAACACAACUUCAGUUUACUUUUGUAAAGAACUUUAAAAGUUUACUCUGAAAUUAAAUGAAAAAAAGACAAUGCAUGACUAGCUAAAUCAACCAUGAAAAAGUGAAAAUAAAAAGAACUCACUAGCUUUACCAAAUAUGAAGUAAUACUGAAGCAGGAAGCUACUGAGGCCACAAGAGAAAAGCAGAUUUGCUAGGACAGGGUAGUCCCAGAAUCAGAGCUAGGCAGGCCAGGAGUAGGUGCCACACAGAGGGGACCUGGGAGGACCCCUGGCACCAGCAGACAGGAGGUCUAGGUCUGUGCUCUGUCACUGCUCCUAAGGGUCUAGUCAGGUCCUGUGCAGUGUCUGGGCCUCAUUCCUUCAGGUGUGAUAUCUUGGCUGGUCUUAAAGAUGCACUUGGCUCUGAUUCCUAGGAGGCUCCUGAUAGUCCUGUUCUACCCGACCUAGUUAGGGAGAGUUCCUGCUCCCCUGGCUCUAUCCCUCCCCUUCCCUGACCUCCAAUCCCUUGUUCUUCCCCUGGCCAGCUUUUUCCUCCAUUCAAGACUUUGAGGUUCCUUCUGCCUAGGUCUCCUCUCAGUUCCAGAGACCUCUGUGGCUCCUGCCCCACACCCCUGUGUCAUAGUGAGUUCAGGGUGAGCCCUUAUACAAGUAGCUCCAGCCACAAGGGGCCUGGCUAAGGGACACAGCAGCAGCAGGUGACAUCCUGGCCCAAGUCCAUCCUCCUUUCUCCUUCCUCCCUGCAGGAAAUCAAGUGCCCCAUCUGCCCUGGCUCAGCUAACCCCAAACUCCUGGUCUCUGUGCUGUGUGGACUCCUCCUGGCCAAGGCCCUGAUGCUGUGAGUCCUGUUUGUGUUCCUGACCUGCAGGUGCCACAGGACAGCAAUGACGGAGGUUUCUGAUUGUAUUAGCCCAGCCUUGCCCCAGGACCCUUGGGUGCGUGAGCCACAGCGCGAAUCCAGGAUGAAUCCCAGUUCUUCCCCUGCCCAGCUACUGGGAGCCGCCCUAAGCAUUGCGCCCCACCUCCCCGUGAGGAAAGGCCAGUGCUAAGCCUAUUGGCGAGAACUUUCAGUCCCUGAUCUCCCCGGUGGUGACCCCUCACCCCUGCCCGGAGCCCUCUUACAUCUACUUCCGCUGCCCUGCCUUUCGCCAUUGGGAAGACCUGGGGCGGGGGUUUCUGUAUCCGGGUCAACGCCCAGCUCAGCAUCUUCAGCUGUGCCAGCGCUCGUCCCCAGCACUCUGUGGUUUUCUCAGCCCCACCUCAGCAGGUCUCCAGGAUCCCUCACAUUUUCCCUGUUUGUUGCCUGUGGUCUGCCCAAGAGUCCUAUCAGUUUCCUCUUGUGCUUAAUUAAAUUCAACCUCUAAACUGAAAUGUGUCAGGGGCAACUGAGCAAGAGGGCAGAUGUAUCCCCUCAACCUCCUCCCCUUCCACCCUAAAUGAGAGAGAAAUGACUUAAAAAUAAACGAUAAAAUUGAAACUAAGAAAGGCUGUAAUCAGCAGACUGGAAACUGAGGAAGUCCUAGAAGUAAACGAAAAAAUCAGAUGCCUUAAAAUGACAAGAGCAGUGGAUUCAGCAGCCUAAAACAGGACCCAGAACAUUCAAUGGAAUCUGAUCAUCAGGGGUCAAAAUUUUGUAUGUUUAAUGUGUGAGGAGAUUCGUAGCCUAAAAGAGAAAAUUAAGUUGAACUAACAAUAAUUGAUGGUGGGAGAAAGAUAAAUGUUUUGGGGAACGCAAGAGGAGCACACAUCUGUGAAACAAGAAGAGGCACAGUCAUUUUCGAACCAGUGUUGCUAUGGAAAUGUCGGAUAACAAUCUGAUGGUUAUUCAUCUUUACUGACCACUUUUAUCUCUGCAAUAUUUUUAUAAUUUUCCCUUUGAAUUUUUAUUAUGGUAUGUUUAAUAUGGACUAUUUAAUUAUCCAUUCUAUUUGGAACUCUCUGAACACAUUCAAUUUGAAGUCUUAGAUAUUUGUUUAAUUCUGAAAAAUCCUCGGUACUAUUUUUUCAAGUAUUAGUAGUUCUUCUUUCCAUUUACUCUUUUUUAUUCUUUUGGGAACAGAGUAACAAUAAAAUAUGUGGGAAUUAAAAACAACAAUAACCAAAAUUAAAAGCUGACUACGUGGACUCCAUAGGAGAGUGGAGAUGACAGAGGAUGUUAUUAGUUAACUGGAAGGCAGACUGAGAAAAUUUACUCAGUCUGAUCAGAGAGAAAACAGACUGAAAAUAAAUGAACAGAAUGUCAGCUAUCUGCAGGACAUUAACAUAAGAGCUAAUCUUUGCAUCCUCAGAGUCCCAGAAGGAAAGGAGAAAAAAUGUGAGCCUGAAAAUGUAUUCAAAGAAACGUCUAAUCAAAUCUGCCCAAAGACCUAAAGCUACAAAUCCAAGAAUCUGAUUUUAUCACAAAUAUAAUAAGGCCAAAGAAAUAGACACCAAGACACAGCAUAGAUAGCCUUCUGAGAAGUAAAGACAAAGAAAAUAUCUUUAAAAUGGCCAGAGAGAAAUAAUUAUCUAUAAAGGAACACCAAUUCUAAUUGUAGUGAAUUUUUCAUCUGAAACAAUGGAAGCCAGAAAAAGGUGGCACAAUAUUGUGCAAAUGCUAUAAAAGACAUACAACACAAUUGAAUAAAUAUUUCUCCAAGGGUAUACAAAUGGGCAAAUUGUACAUGCUCAAGAUGAAGCUGCACAAUAUCAUUAAUUGUUAGGUAACUACAAUUCAAAACGUAAGUACAUUCACUGGAUGGCUAUAAACAGAAAGCCAAUACAAGUAUUGGAGAGAUUGCAGAGAAAUGAGAGCACUCAUACAUUGCUGGAGAGGGUGAAAAAUUUGCAGCCACUUUGGAAAACUAUGUGAGAGUUCCUGAAAAUGUUAAACGUAGAGUUGCCAUAUGAUCCAGUAGUUCUACUAUUGGUUAUGUACUCAAGAGAAAUGAGUCCACACAAAACUUGUAUGUCCACACAAAAACUUGUACAUGAAUAGUCAUAGUAACACUGCUUAUAGUAGUUAAAUAGUGGAAACAAAUAAAAUAUCUGUUAACCGAUAAAUGGUAAACAUAUAUAUUCAUUCAGUGGAAUAUUAUUCAGCCUUUCAAAGGAAUGAUGUAUUAAUACAACGUAUAGCACAAGUACAGCUACAACAUGGACAAGCCUGAAAAACAUUCUGCUAAAUGAAAGAAUCCAGUCACAAGGAACACAUAUUGCUCAAUUAUAUUUUUAUGACAUGUCCAGAAUUGAUCAAGAAAUUUUUGAUUAUUUUUUUAAAAUAAGUUUUGAUUUUUUUGUCUAUAAAGACAAAAAUAUUAGUGCCUGGGAUUGUAUAUAUAAUAAAUAUAUUGCCUGAGACUGUAGGAAUGGGGACUGUGGUAAGCUGAUAAAUGUCCUCUUAAAAGAUACCUGUGUCCUAAUCCCUGGAACCUGUGAUUGUUACCUUAUAUGGCAAAAAAAAAAAAAAAGAUCUUUGCUGAUGUGAAUAAGUUAAACAUCUUGAGAUGGGGAGAUUAUCCUGGAUUACAUAGAUGGGAACUACAUGCAAUCACACGUAUCCUUAUGUAAGACAGCCAGAGGGGGAUUUGAACACAAAGAGGAGAAAGUGAUGUGAAGAUGGAGCAGAGGGAGACUGAAGAUGCUGGCCUUGAAGAUUGGAGUAAAACAGCCCCAAACCAAAGAAUGCUGGCGGCUACCUGAAGAUGGAAAGGCAAGGAACAAAUUCUUCCCUAGAGUCUCUGGAGAGACUGUAGCCCUGUCGACAUCUUCAUCUCAGUACAGUGUGAUACUGACUUCAGACUUCUGCCUUCAGAAUGGCGAGAUAAUAAGUUAAUACUGUUUUAAGCCACCCAGUCUGCAGUAAUAGGAAACGGAUCCAGGGAGUGCCUGCUAAUGGGCAUGGGGUUUCUUUGGGAGGAGGGGACAUGAAAAUGCUGUAAAAUUGGUGAUAGUUGUACAACUCAGUGAAUAUAUUGAAAAGCACUGAAUUGUAUGCUUCAGGUGGGUCAGUUUUAUAUUAUGUGAAUUAUAGCUCACAGAACUGUUGAAAAAAGUCACUGUGACCUUGGGUUAAGAAAAGAUUUAUUAGAUAUGACAUAAAAAUAUGAUCCAUAAAAAUUAUAUUUGGACUUCACCAAAAUAAGUCAACAUAAAGUGCUUCAUACUGUACUAUUUCCAUUCUGGAAAGAGAGAAACGAUAGGAAAAAACCCCACCAGAUCAAUGUUUGUCUGGGACUGAAGGGAUGACUAACAAGGAGCAGGGGAAAGCUUUUGGGAAUGAUGGCACUCUUCUCUGUCUCCAUUAUGGCAUUGGAUACAAGUCUCUAGAAAUCCCAGAACUGUUCAUUGAAAAGGGUGAAAAGUACUGUAUGUAAAUUAGGCCUUAAUUUUUUAAUGGGAAAAAUAAAUAUAAAGACAAAAUACACUGCUGUGU